CACGUAGGGACCAAGCGUUGUCCGGAUUCAUUGGGCGUAAAGAGCUCGUAGGCGGUUCGAUAAGUCGGGUGUGAAACCUCCAGGCUCAACCUGGAGACGCCACCCGAUACUGUCGUGACUAGAGUCCAGUAGGGGAGCGUGGAAUUCCUGGUGUAGCGGUGAAAUGCGCAGAUAUCAGGAGGAACACCAGCGGCGAAGGCGGCGUUCUGGACUGUUACUGACACUGAGGAACGAAAGCCAGGGGAGCAAACGGG
rnacentral:rRNA from 1 species